rnacentral:piRNA from 1 species
UNGGUCCUAGGAAAGCUACAUGGAUUUCUA